UACGUAGGGUGCAAGCGUUGUCCGGAAUUAUUGGGCGUAAAGAGCGUGUAGGCGGCCCGGUUAGUCCGAUGUGAAAGUCCAGGGCUCAACCCUGGAAUGCCGGUGGAUACUGUCGGGCUAGAGUCCGGAAGGGGCGAGUGGAAUUCCUGGUGUAGCGGUGAAAUGCGCAGAUAUCAGGAGGAACACCAAUGGCGAAGGCAGCUCGCUGGGACGUGACUGACGCUGAGACGCGAAAGCGUGGGGAGCAAACAGG
rnacentral:rRNA from 1 species